rnacentral:rRNA from 1 species
UACGGAGGGGACUAGCGUUGUUCGGAAUUACUGGGCGUAAAGCGCACGUAGGCGGAUUGCUAAGUCAGGGGUGAAAUCCUGGAGCUCAACUCCAGAACUGCCUUUGAUACUGGCGAUCUUGAGUCCGGGAGAGGUGAGUGGAACUGCGAGUGUAGAGGUGAAAUUCGUAGAUAUUCGGAAGAACACCAGUGGCGAAGGCGGCGACCUGGGCCAAUACUGACGCUGAGGUGCGAAAGCGUGGGGAGCGAACAGG